rnacentral:tRNA from 1 species
AGGGAAGUAGUUAAUAAUAACAUUUAAUUUGCAAUUAAAAAGUACUUUCUAAGUCUUCCUUA